rnacentral:rRNA from 1 species
UAGGGAAUCUUCCGCAAUGGACGAAAGUCUGACGGAGCAACGCCGCGUGAGCGAAGAAGGCCUUCGGGUCGUAAAGCUCUGUUGUUAGGGAAGAACAAGUACGAGAGUAACUGCUCGUACCUUGACGGUACCUAACCAGAAAGCCACGGCUAACUACGUGCCAGCAGCCGCGGUAAUACGUAGGUGGCAAGCGUUGUCCGGAAUUAUUGGGCGUAAAGCGCGCGCAGGCGGUCCUUUAAGUCUGAUGUGAAAGCCCACGGCUCAACCGUGGAGGGUCAUUGGAAACUGGGGGACUUGAGUGCAGAAGAGGAGAGUGGAAUUCCACGUGUAGCGGUGAAAUGCGUAGAGAUGUGGAGGAACACCAGUGGCGAAGGCGACUCUCUGGUCUGUAACUGACGCUGAGGCGCGAAAGCGUGGGGAGCAAACAGGAUUAGAUACCCUGGUAGUCCACGCCGUAAACGAUGAGUGCUAAGUGUUAGAGGGUUUCCGCCCUUUAGUGCUGCAG